AAAAGCCCAUCAAAGGCUAAAUUGGCCACAUCCUGUGGCCACGCUGUUCUGACCCGCAUCAUACGGG
rfam:Virgibacillus soli strain PL205 scaffold000011, whole genome shotgun sequence.